AAGGAUAUUUAAUAAAUAUAUAAAAAUAAACAAAAAAAAGGACUAAAAUUAAAUCAAAAACGAAGUUAUGGGGCCAAUUUAAAAAGAAACUAAAAAUAAAGGGCCUAUUUAAACACGCGAGAAAACAGUGGGGAACAAAAGCGCAAUAUUCCAAACUUUCCAAAACGCUGCCCAGUAACAGGGAUCAGAUUGAAAAUAAUAUUAAAUCAUAGGGCCAAAUUAAAAUAAAAAACUUAAUUAUAAAACGUUGAAAAAGCGGAGGGGCCAAAUGCGAAAUAUCCCCUCCCUUAAAAAAACGCGGAUCCUAGGUCGAGUCGGGUCGGAUCGGGUCGGGCUAUGAUGAAACGACGUCGUUUUGGAGUUAAAAAGCAGCCCUCGUUUUGGAGGGCUAUAUAAAGCCCUAAAUCCGAAAAAAAUUCAUUUGUAAGGGAAGGGAGAAAAAAAAGAGAGAGAGGAAAGGAGAGAAGAGGGAAGAGGGAGAAAGGAGAGAGGGGAGAAGGGAGAGCACCGGCCAGGGGCCGGUCACCGGGCGGCCUCGCCGACGAUGGCGCUGGCCGCCGUACACGGCAGCCGGAGAGGUAUUUUUCUGAUUUUUUUCUUUUUAUUUUGUUUAUAUUUUUUAUGUUUUAAGCAUUGUUUUUAUUUAUUUAGUUAUUUAUAAAUAUUAGAAAAAUUUUGAAAAUAAAACUGAAAAAUAAAUAAUAGACUAUUCACCUUAGGGUUUAAUGUCUGAUUUUGCGAUCUGGGAUGUUACCCUUGCUUGGCUGCUAUUUUGUUUAUCUAAAUGCUGAGAAAAUUUGCAAUCGUUUUGGAUUUGGAAAUGAUUUCUUAUUUUCUCUGUUUUCAAACUGCAGAACUUCGGACCCCUUUACAGUGUUUCAUUCGGCUUUUUAUAGCCACUUUGAUUACAUGAUAUAUUAUUAUUUUUUGAUGUUCUUGCUUCUGUCUUGUUUGUCUGUUGUUUCUGCAGGGUAUGGAAUGGAGCUGAUGGUAGCCGGUGGGGGAGAGGUAUGGUGGCUGACAUGGUGAGGCAGAAGGGUGGUUGCGGCGUCACUUUAGGAGCUAGGGUUAGGGUUGGUGUUAGGUCAGUUGGGUUGUUGUAUUGGGCCAACCGGGUAGUGGGUUUAAUGGGUAGGUUAAUUGGGCUGAAGGUGGUUUUUUGUAAUGGGUAUUGGGUUAUUUUGGGGUUUAAUAUGAAAUGGGUUUGUUAAUGGGCCAUUUGGGUUUUGUAAAAUGGCCCAAAAUUGGCCUGUAACAGUCUGACAUAAUUUUGCUGAUAUAUUCUUAACAAUGUCUCCGAUAAAUGCUGAUUCGUGCCUACAAUGAAAUAAAAAAUCGCUGCUAUCUUUCAAAUGCAAUUUUUCAUUUGUAAUUGAGUGUAUCAUGAAAUAUAAUAUAAUUGAAGCAAACCAAAAGCUAGAAAAAGACAGCAAGAUUUGUUAGAGCAUCAAAAUACACAACAUGCUCAUUAGUUGAAAUAUGGAAAUUCUCAAUUAAACACAGUUACAAAAAUUUACAUGCAAUCCAAGAAAAAAACAAUUUUUUAGUCAUUAAAAUUAGGAAAUAGAGAAGAAAAGGAAGAAAUACCGAUUAUGUAAAUGCCAUCCUUUGAUGUUAGCUACUUCAGUCAAAGCAUUUCGCCACUUUUGGAUCUUGUCUUUAUCUUCCUUGUAUCUUUCUUCGUGUUCGGCGAAGGCUUCUCCAACUUUUUCUUUUUGUUUUCUUAAAUCGGAUGGAUCCACAUCGUAGAAAAUUGGAAAUACUUUAUGCCCGUUAACAUUUUUUUGUUGAACAAUCUCAGCAAGUUCCUCCAAGCACCAUCCUGAAAAGGCAUCGGUUUCCGAAAAAAUGAUAACCGAGCACCACGACUGCUGGAUCGCUUUGAAGAGUUCCGGGGCGAUCUCUUCGCCGACCUCCAGCUUUGGAUCAUCCCUAAAAGUGAUGAUGCCACUCCUCUUUAGAGCAUCGUAGAGAUGAUCUGCGAAGUUCUUGCGGUUAUCUUCACCUCUAAAACUCAAGAAAACAUCGUAUUUCUUUCUGGAAAUGGAUGAGGAAGUCGAAAGUAACGAUGACAUAACGAUGUAUGAGAUGAUAAAUAUAUGUGGAAGGCGAAAAACAGAUGAAAUUUACAGGGAGCGACAAACGACUUUUCCAAGAAAUUUCGGUAUACGUUUCCCACCUUUUACUUUUCCAAUAAAUUCGUGGGCCAUAGAUGAGUUGGAUUAUCUUUCCUGGAAGACUUCAAGAAGGUGAGAGUUGACAAUUGGUGUCUACUUUAAUUACAACUAAUAAUUAUAGAUUUUUAAGAGUUUUCUUUAAAUUUUGCCACAAGUCCCCAUCCUUUUUUAUAAAUUUAAAAUUUAGUCCCUACACCAUUGUUUAUUAAAUUAUGGGUAAGUUUUUGUUUUGGCCACUUAAUUAAAAAGUUUCAAUUUGGACAUUGAACUUUUCAAAAUUAUUUUGUCGGUUACUUGGCACUUUUUUAAUUAGUAUAAUAACAAUUUUAAUUCUCAAAUUUUAUGUUUUUCAUCAAUUUAACCCUGAUUUUAUAUAAAAUAACAAAAAAUUAAAUUUCUUUUAAAAAAUUUAGAGAACUCUAAAAAUUAAAAUUAAAAUAAAAGUAAAUAAAAAUUUCAAAAAUAUAUAAAAUGAGAAAAUGAGCGAAAACUAUUAAUAAACCUUCCAAAAUUUCUCCCAAAUUAUUGGUUGUAUGCUUUUUUUUUAUCUCUUUUGUUUCUUGACAUGGUUGUUUCGUUAUAAGAAAAAAAAUUCAAAAUAUAAUUUGUUUUACUGUUUGAUUUUAUAAAUAAAUAAAUAAAAUUUUAAAUCGAGUCUGAAAAUGAAAAUUUUAUGGUAUAUUUUGAAAUUUUUUUUCUAAAAAAUGGCAUAAGCCUAUGUAUUUUGGAUGUUCUUCAAGGGCAUGAAAUUUGACUUGAAGAUAUUAUUAAUUUGAUUUCAAAAAACAUUGAGGAAGCAUGUAAUAAUCUAAUAAUUUUUGGUUUUGUUCUAUUUUUAAUUUGUUCUAGGAUUCUAUUGAAUGAUAAUUUUCUAUUUUUCCCAUACAUAUUAGUUCUUCAAAAACAAUAUUUUCGAGAUUUUAUUUUUUUAUAAUUUUCUAUAAUUUUCAUAUAGAAUUUUCUACUUUUUAAAUAUUUUUGAGUUUUUUUUUUAUAAUGUUAUAUAGAACCAUAGUCAAAUUUACAAAAUAUAAAAAUUGUGCACUAAAAUUGUUAUUUUGCCAACUAAAAAGUGACACUUAACAACGGAGUGACUAAGAAAAAUAAUUUCGAAAAAUUUAGUGACCAAAUCGUAAUAUUUUUUAGCUAAGCUACCAAAAUAAAAACCUACCAUAAUUUAGAGACUAAUUGUGUAGUUUACCUUAAGAACUAGUGGACCAUGAGGGUAGCAUUAAUAAGUUAGAAUUAUAUAUAGAGAGAACAUUAUACAUUAAUACAUAAAAGAAAAACAAUAGUUCUUCGAAUAAAUAUUAAAUCCUAUUCAAAUUAAAUUGCAUUAAAGAAAAAUGCCAUAACUUACCACUACUGAAAACAAAGGCAUUUCUAUUUCCAUAGCAAACAGAGUACCUCAAUCAGUUCCUUCCACAGGAAAAGUUGUUUGAGUUCCGAAGAAACUCACAGUUCUCCCAUUUCCUCGUGCCCAAUAGACACCAUUUACUACAUCUUCCCAAAUAUUGGACAAAGCCCUCCAGAGAAACGAGCAAUUAGAAGGAUGUAUCGAAGAUGACCAUUUACUUAUUACCCAUACUUGUUCCGAAGGACUUUAACCCAUAGCACCUUCAUGUUAGAAAUGACAUUAAAAGCUACUUUAAGCAUGAAAGCUUUAUCGUGGUAUCAUACUUUCCUCAACUCAAAUCCACCAUUCUUCUAAGGCAUACAACAUUUAUCCCAGCUCACUAAAGUUGGUUUCCAGUUACCAGACGUUGACCCCAAAUGAAUCCUCGAACCAGCUUCUCAAUUUCAUUGCAUUUGUCUAGGUGAUCACCUUAAAAAAGACCAUAAAGAGAUUGACCAGUCUAAAUUGAGAUUGAGGGACCAGCUAGGGAAUACCAAAAAUCCUAAGCUACCGCAAAAAAACCUGAAGAAUUAUAAAAAAAUAUUAUGAGGGAUUAUCAAAUAUUGAUUUGUCUUAUAAAAAUAAUUUUCACUAUUUUUAAAUUUAUAUAUAAUAUUUGUAGUACCAAAUAUUAGUAUGCAAAGUUGCCAAAUUAAAAAUUAUCAAGUUUUUCCAUCAGUUAAAUCCCAUUACAAAUUUAUUAGGAUGAAGCAUAAAAAUAGUCACUAAAAUAUUUCCCGUAAACUUAUAAAAUUUAUUUUCUGAUGAAUGAAAUCAAGUACAAAGUCGAGACUUUUGUAAUGGACCAAAAUAAAUUGGUGGGGUUUACUGGCCUCUUUCUCCCAUUAUAACAUUUGAAAAUGGUCACAAAUUUAGAGAGAUUCGUGGACAGCUGUUCAGUAACAUGUGUUGGGGUUAUGAAGUCAAAUCUAUAUGUUGCGAUUUGGGCAUGUUGAAUUUGGCCUCCAUGCAGCACAUGCAGCCAAGAGCAGACCAUGCAGCCCACAGCCAUGCAGAUGCUGCUGAAAUUGAUGCAGCAGUUCAAUUUCGGUUUCAUUUUGUUACUUUAAGUAAUGUUUUGUAACUUAGUCAAAUUUGAGUUAAGUAGGUAACAUAUUUAAUGUAAUUAGGUAGUGUUUGAGCUGAUAAAUCAGUUUUGUCAAAGUGUACAAGUUUCAUUUAUCAAGUUUCAAUGUAAUUAGUGGUAGUAGGUGAUGAUUAGGUAAUGUUUGUGACAUUUUGACCAGCUCAUGAAUUGGUAUAUGCAAUGGCUCAAUGCCUUUAUUCAGUUGUAGUUAAUGAAAUCAUUGAAUUUCAUCAGAAAACUUUCUUAUUCCUUUGUUUUCAUUUUUGCUCUUCAAGCUAGAGGUGUGCAUGGGCCGGGCCGGGUUUGGCCUAUUUUUAAGGCCCGAGCCUGGCCCGGGAAAAAAAUGGUAGGCCCGAGCUGGCCCGGCUCGGCCAUAUUAAUUUUUUUUUGUUUUUUUAUUAAAUAAAAAACUUUAAAAUAUAAUAAAUCAAAUACAUUUAAAACAUAAAAAUAAAUAUUAAAACAAAAAACAAAUAAAAAAUGAGACUAAAAUAAUUCUUAGAAUAAUACAUAAAUUAAAAAUAUAAUAAAAAGUAAUUAUAUUAAAAUUGAAAAAUUGAAACAAAUUAAAAUUAAAUUAAGAACUAAAUUAUAUUAAUAACAAAAGUUUUACAAUAUUAAAAUAACAUUAAAAACAACAAAAAGAGUAAAGUAAAAUACUAAAGUUACUUAAAAUUAAAAAUAAAUUUUUUUAAAAAUAAUUUAAUAUUAAAAUCAGGCUGGGCCCGGGCCAAAAAAUUUUUACCCGAGGCCCGGCCUAUUUUCUAACAGGCCUCGUUUUUUGUCCAAGCCUAUUUUUCGGGCCUAUAUUUUUACCCAAACCCUCCCAUUUUUCGGGCGGGCCUUCAGGCCGGGCCGGGCCGCCCGGCCCAUGCACACCUCUACUUCAAGCUCGAUUCUGUUUAUUUCACCUGCAAAAGUCGAGCCUUGUUGCUCAAGCUUCUGUUAACCUUGGUUGAUUUUUGUUCUUAAUCCCAACAGGGCCCAUACCAUCUCCAUCUCCAUUUUCAUUUUUAAGUUACUAUUAUCUCUCAUUAUUUUAUUUUAUCUUAAUUUCUUUUCAUCAGUCUUUUCUUUUUGCUUUUGAUUGUUGGAAACUUGGAGUACUAGGGCAUUCCCAAGCCUCGGUUUGGGACUUCUUGAUAGCAUUCCCGCCCUAUAGCAAAUUAAAUGGGAUAUAAACAUCGUGAGAUUAAUUUCUCAUAUUUUGCAAUAUCUAAUAGAAAGUUUUCAGAAUCAGAUAACUGAUUGAAUUAAUCAACUCAUUAGUUUUUGAUUCAGUCAAUUCACUUAGUCUGACUGGUUCAUUCGAUUUAAUUAAGUAAAUUAUUAAAAAUUAUAAAUAUUAAAAUAUUAGAUAAUAGUAAAAAUCAAUUCAACUGUUAGAUUCAACAUGUUUUGAGAUGUUCGUGAGUCAAACGGUAAAUACACUUUCAGAAAAUCUCCACCAUAUCACAUCUUUCCCCAGCUUGAAAGAAGUUCAACUUAGUUUUCUUCAUAUAAAAAUAGUGGGAUUUGAGGUGAUGAUAAUCUAAUUUCAGCAUGAUUUCUCAAUGAUUGUUACAAAUAUAUGGAACUUCUGAAUUCAUUAAAAAGGAACAAGGUAAGCAAUUAUAGACAGUUGUUCCUUGGUUAAUACUGUUGUUAAGGUGGAAAUGAUAACAGCAUUGUUAAACUCCUGCAACUUCUAAACAGAGGCAAGGGCCCUGUAUUUACUUACAUCAUUCUCGGUAAACACAAAAUUGCUGGAUGAAACCCAUAAUUCCACCACCCCUUCAUCAUGCAAACUCAUUGAUUUGACACUAGCGAGAAUGAGAUUCUUUGCUGCACAAGCAAAAGAAAUAAACGUCUAAGUGAUACCAAUCUCUAAUAAUAAUCUUAUAUACAUGCCAAAAUACUACCAAAAAUAAACAGAAGGUUCACUUUAUUUCCCAAAUAUUUUAAAGCAGAGCAAUGCUUGUUUUGUUGGGUUUGACAUAAAUUAUCCAUAUAAUUCGAUAAGCUUAACCUGUAUGGAUUCGACUGUGGGAUUCGUGGACACCUCUACAUUGACAUGAUGAAAGACAACAAUAUGCAGUAAAAGAUGUAAGAGAAAAAACCAACGUUAUGUCAUGAAACUAGAGGUGUGCAUGGGCCGGGCUACCCGGACCGGCCCGAAGGCUUGCCCGAAAAAUGGAAGGGUUCGAGUAAAAAUAUAGGCCUGAAAUAUGGGUUUGGGCAAACAAACGAGGCCCGUUUAGAAAAUGGGCCGGGCUCGGGUAAAUUCUUUUGGCUCGGGCCCGGCCCUGGCCCGGCCCGGCCCAAAUUAUAUAAUAAAUAUAUUUUUUUAUUUUUAAUCAUAUUUAUAUUUCAAUUUUAAUUUUAAUAUAAUCAAUUUUUAUUAUAUUUUUUAAUUUGUGUAUUGUUUUAAUAAUUGUUUUAAUAUAUUUUUUAUUUGUUUCUUGUUUUAAUAUUUGUUUUAAAUGUAUUUGAUUAUUUAAUAUAUUUUAAAAAUUUUUAUUUAAUGAAAUAAGUUUAAAAAAAAUUAAUAUGGGUCGGGCCGGGUCGGGCUCAGGCUUAACAAUUUUAUUUCGGGCCGGGCUUGGGCAAAUUUUUAGGCCCAUAUUUCGGGCCAGGCCGAGCCCGGGCCUAGAAAACGAGCCUGAAAUUUUCAGUGAGCCCGGCCCGGCCCAGCCCAUGCACACCUCUACAUGAAACCUUCGAACAAGAGAUAAGUAAAAAAACAUAUUCUUGGUGCAUGGAUAUCUAGUGAUUAAUCUUCCAUUUAAGUGUCUAAGAAAGUAAGAAUUCAAUCCAAUUAAUUCCUCAAUCAGCCCAAUUACAUAAGCAUGCAGCCUACCUCUACUCUAGUAGUACUAUACAACACAGCAUCCAACGUAUCACAGAAGAAAAUCAUUAGCAGCAACAUAUUGAAUGUGCGAUAGUGGGCACCAUCAUCAGGUUAUCCUAAUAUUGCACAAAAUCAUAUAAAAUCGAAGUUCAUGCAUAAUAUUACACAUUGGAUAAAAGUUCAUGUCUUCUAUUAUUAUCAUGGGCGAUACAUGGAUUUAAAGGAAGCUCAAAUGUUCACAGUGAGGAGCUAUUAUUGAGUGUUGAUUUUCACUUACUGUAGUUAAAGUAAGUCGGGAGAGAGUUUACUUAAUUGCACAACGGUGAGGUUGCACCAAGUUAGGCUUAAAUAAUUUCGUUGUAUUGUGAAGUUUAUAGUGGAUUCAUCUCUUUGAGUAAGGCCUGGCAGAAACUACGUAAUCAUUUUGGUUGUGCUCUUUAUUUUGCUUGUUGCAUAGUAUGUGUCAACUCAAAACUUAAUUUUUGUUUUCCUAAAAAUUUAAACUUAUAAUUAUAUCAAUAGUCACCAUUAAAAUUUAUUGUUACAAGUAUCAAAUUAAAUAAAAAAACUCAAAAAUUAACUUGUCUACACAUAAUAAUAUAUAUUAAACUUUUGUAACUUUUUGAAUUUUUGAGGAUUUUUGUCUCCAUUAUUGUAAAACUUUAAAUUAAUUCCCAAAAUAUGUAAUGCUUGUGAUUAUUUUUUGUUGGGGAUAAGCACGAUUGAGCAAUGAAUAAGUAAAAAUAGUGGAAGAAAUGGAGAAAUUGAAUACACAAAUUUAACAUGGAAAAACGAAGAGCACAUAAAAUCACAUGCAAAGAUAAUUUUACUAUAAUGACAAAAAAACGAAGAGCACAAAAGAUGGAGACAAAAAUUAAACUCCGAAAACAAAGAACCCUCAAAACAUAAAUAUAAAAUUCUCCAAAAGUGUUAUAAGUUCUAAUCUCUAAUGGGUGUAUUUUCUAAUAUUGUAAAAAAACCUAUUAAUAGUCUAAAUUUGUAGGUCAAAUAAUAAAAUAAUCUAGACUAAUCAGAGUUUGAUUGAAACAAAUAAACAGAGUGUUGUAGGCCAAUUUUGGCCCGUUUACAUCCAAACCCGAGUGGCCCAAUUACUAAACCUAACCCACCUAAGUUAAACCCACUAACCCAUCAUAACACAAACCCAAACCCAAGCCCAAUUUCAAACCCUAGCCCAAUACCUAAAAUAAAAAAAGAAAAACCCUAAAAAAAUCAGCUAGCCGCCGCCCCUAUGGCCAACUGCCCUCUACCACCACCACUGUGGCCACCAUCCCUUUGCACCUGCAAAAAAUAAAGAUAGAAGUGACAACAAUAAUAAAAUUUCUUGUAAAAUGGCUAUAUAAAAGCCUAGAAAUCGGUUUGUAAAAAAAAAAGAUUUUUUUUUGUGGUAAGAAUACAAACAUUCUAUUUCAAAAGCAAAAACGAAAAACAGCAACUCUAGCAAUAUUAUAGCACGAGAAUAGCACCAAGUCAAGCAACCAAAACAUCGAUAUCAUAAUCAAAGGCCUAAGGUGAUUUUAGUUUUUAUUUUAGUUUUAUUUUUGAAUCUAUUAACUUGCAUAAACUUAUAUAUAUUAUAAAUACAAAAAAAAUUAUAUAUUAAAAAUACAAAAAAAUAAUAAAUACCUUUUUGAAAUUUCUGGCCACCGUGCGCGGUGGCCGGCGACGGUGGCCAGUGGUGGUUGGCGAAGGCGGCCGACGGCAGUCCGGCGACCGGACGGUGACCGGCCUUGUGGCCAGAAAUCACCCACCCUCUCCCUCUCUCUCUCCCUCUCUUUUUUCUUUCAAGUGUAGAAAUGAAUUUUUUUUGAAGAAAAGAGGCCUUUUAUAGCCUCCAAAACGACGUCGUUUUGGGGUUGGCCAUUAAACCCCAAAACGACGUCGUUUUGACUUGGACCGGAUCGACCCGCCUAGGAUCCGCGUGUUUUUUAACAGAAGGGCUAAUUGCGCUUUUAGCCCUUCCGCUUUUUUAUUACUUGGCAAUUAAGUCAUUUUUUAUUUUUAAUUUGGCCCCAAAAUUUGUCGCGAUUUUCAAUUUAGACCCCGCUGAUGUGCUGCGUUUUGAUGGGAAGGAAUAAUUGCUAUUUCGGUCCCCCUUUGUUUUGCGUGCGUUCAAAUAAGCCCCCUUUCUUUUGUUCUAUUUCGAAAUUCGCCCCAAAACUUAUUUUUUAAUUCAAUUUUGUCCUUUUUUCACUUUUUCUCAUUAUUUUAUUUUAAUUUUAAUAUUAUGUAUACUAUUAUAUUUUAUUACUAUUAUUAUUAUAUUUAUUAUUUAUUAGCAUUAGUAUUAUUUUCACUUAAUACUUAUAUGUAUAUAUAUUAUAUAGUAUUAUUAAUAGUUUUUUUUUGUUAUUAUUAUUUUUCUUAACAUUAUAUUAUGUAUACAUUCUUAAAUAUUAUUAGUUAUAUAUUUUUAUGUUAUCAUAUACAUAUAUGUGUCUAAUGUUAUAUUACAUAUAUACUUUAAAAGCUAUAUCAAGUACGUAUAUAUUAUGUACAAUUUUUCUUAAAUAUUAUAUUAUAUAUAUUUAAAUACUAAUACUAUGUAUAUAUGUUUACGUAUAUAUAGCGUUACUAAUUUUCUUUUAUUAUUUUUAUUUUCCCCGGUACACAUUGUCGUUUAUAUAUUCUUAUUAUUACUAUAUCUAUUAUUUAUUAGUAUUUUACUAUUACUAUUAUUAGUAUUAUUUUUUAAUCAAUACUUAUAUGUAUAUAUUAUGUAAAUAUUUUAACACUAUAUUAUGUAUAUAUAUAUUUUAAUGUUAUGUACAUAUUUUUUUAAUAUUAUAUUUUUUAUAUAUUAUUAUGUAUAUAUUUUAAUAUCAUUAGUUAUAUUUUUUAUACUAUCUUACGUAUAUAUUUCUAAUACUAUAUAUUGUAUAUUUCUAAUAUCAUUAUAUAUAUAUAUGUACGUAUUUAUGUAUCGUAUUAUAGUUGCUUUUUUUUGUAUCAUUAUUGUUAGUAAUAUAUAUAUAUCAUGUAUAUAUGAUUUUCUUUUAUAUAUAUUAUGUGUAUAUCUUUAAUACUAUAUUAUUUAUGUAUUUUUUCUUACAUAUUAUCUUAUGUAUACGUUUUUUUAAAUAACUAUAUUAUGUAUGUACUUUUAAUGCUAUAAUUAUAUUUUUAAUAUUAUGUAUAUACUUUUUAUUCCUAUUAUUACGUAUGUAUUUUAAUACAUAUAUGUAUAUGUUUAUAUAUCGUUAUUAUUAGUUAUUUUUUUAUAUUAUUACCGUUUUCAAUAUAUUGUAUAUAUUUUUAAUCUAGUAUUAUAUGUUUUAUAUAUAUAUAUAUGUUCCCCACUAUUUCAUAUUUGCAUUAUUACUAUUAUUAUCAUAUUUAAUACCAUAUGCAUUACUAUUGUUUUAUUAUUAUCACAUAUACAUUGUUAAUGUUUUUUUUUAUAUUAUUUGCUUCGUAUAUUCUUAACUUUUUAUUGUUAUUUGUCUGUUCCGAAUUUAGCAUAUUAGUUCAUAUCUUAUUCCAACAUCAAUAUUAGUUUUCUUUUACUGAAAUAUUUUCAUUCAUAUUUUUAAAUUAAUUUCAAUAAAUAAGGUAACAUACCGAUUUAACAUUAAGUCGUCGAUUUCAUCGCUAUGUUGGGUGAAUAUCAUUGGCUCGUGUUAAAAACGGAAUGCCCUUCUCAAAAGAAACUGAAAUUUUAAAAAUUUCUCGUGUUUUGAUCGGAUCACGAUUAAAAUUCAAAUUGAACUUGUAUUUUAGAAAAUUAAGACAACACAUGUUUAACGAGAUACCAAUUUUGGGCGUCAUGGGGGUGCUAAUACCUUCCCCGCGCGUAACCAACUCCCGAACCCUAUUUUUCUCUGGCUUUUGUCGUAGACCUAAACUCGGCCUUCUUUUUGUUUAAAAAUAAAUUUUCUUUUAAAAAAAAGGAGGAUUUAUUAGGUGUCCGAUUACACCUAGAAAAAAGGAUCGGUGGCGACUCCCUUUUUAAAGAAAAUAGAAAGUCGGUUUUCAAAUUUUCAAUAAAUCGCCUCAAUUACCGACCGAAAGCAAAUUUUUUACGUCGCUACACAGAGUUUAAUUGGAAGAUUAUUUCUCAUAUUUGACUGAAAUAUGAGUCAUACUCAACAAAUCUCCACCUUGACUCAUAUUUCCACAAUGCCAUCUUUGCUAAAGCCCGCCACGGGCCUAUCUUGAACUAUGCAGGGAAUUAAUUGAUUUGAAUUUGUGUUUAGAAGCUAGAAUACUUUCAGCCUUCGACUUGUGCACUGCCAAAUCAAAACUAACCUGGGUCUGAUUUUCACGAACAUAGUGCCCUAACUUUUCAAAACCUGCAUCCAAAAGAGAACCUCUCUUCAAUGAAACGAUCAUACAUUUUCCCCUCCUUUGACCAAGUUGCCUCCACUCAAAACGAGUUAACUUUGACCCCAUAACGGACGAGGGACGUCCGAUUUCACCAGUCACUGUAAAACCUUCAAGAAUAUAAAGACUGUCAGUCCUUUUACCUUUUAACAAAACGAGAGCCCCACGAGACACCGUAAUGUCGCUGACUCAAUGUUGAUUCUGCAACCUUUCAAGUUUAAAUUAUUCAAGGAGAUGAGAUGCUUUCUUAAAUCAGGUACAUACCUGACAUCUAAGAGCGUCCUAAUCGUCCCAUUGUGCAUCUUAAUUUUAAUAGUACCAAUUCCAAUUACCUUACUAGAUGAAUCGUUUCUCAUGCCUAUAACUCCAUCUUCAAUCGAACUGUAUGUGGAGAACCAUUCUCUGUUGGGACACAUGUGGAAAAAACAUCCUGAAUUUAGGAUCCACUCAGACGUAAGCUCGAAACUAUCGCUCGUUAACACUAAUAAGAAAUCAUCACCGUUUUCUUCGGCCAAAUCAGCACGAGCUACAUCUUAUUCAUUACUCUCAGUAGCCCUUUUAUUUUGCAGUUUAUAACAAUAUAUUUUGACAUGACCUAACUUCUUACAAUAGUGACAUCUUUUGUCUUGCUUUUUUUAUGCUACCAAUACAGAAGCUUGCCUAUCUUCCUUGCUAUUCGAACCAAAAUCAUAGUUGAGUUUUUUUUUACUCAACAAAUGACCUUUCACAUCCUUGAAUGAAAGAUUAUCUCUCCCAUAAAUCAUGGUUUCCCUGAAAGACUUGUAAAAGGGGGUAAAUAGCACAACAAUAGGAUAGUUCGAUCCUCACCGUCAAUCUCAACAUUAUUUAAAUCAUUUAAAAGAGUAAUGAAUUGACUGAUGUAAUCUCUAAGAAGCUCACAUUCGUUCAUGCAAAACGUAAAUAGACAUUGUUUCAAUACUAAAUGGUUAGUCAAAGACUUAGUCGCAUAACGAGUUUCUAACAUUUUUCAUAAGGUAGAUGAGGUCUUCUCGAUCAAUACCUCCUGCAAUACCCUAUUCGAGAGGCAUAACUAGAUCAUAGACAAGGCCUUUUCAUCAAACUCUUCCCAUUUUGACUGAUUUAGAUUCUCAGACUUUUUCCUGGUAAUGACCUUUUUCAGGUCGGUCUAAACUAGAAUUGCUGUCAUUCGAACUUGCCACAGAUUGAAAUUUUAGACACGAUCGAAUUUCUCAAUAUCAAACCUUGUUUUGUCAUCUCUGAAUGAGCUGAUCUGCGAAAAUCAAAGUAGCUCUGAUACCGCUUGUUUUGGGUUGACCCGAUUAAGCAACGAACAAAUAAAAAUAUUACAAGGAAUUGAGAAAUUGAACACACAAAUUUAAUGUGUAAAAACCCCUCCGAAGAGAAUAAAAACCAUGGGUAAAGAUAAUUUUACUAUAAUGGUAAAAGAACGAAGGGUACAAAUUAUGGAGAUAAAAACUAAACCCCAAAAACUCGAAAAUAAAGAACCCUCAAAAUGUAAACAUUCUAAUAUCUAAUGGGUUUUAAAAGAGCCUAUUUUUAAGUUAAAUUCGUAGGUUAAAUAAUAAUAAAAUAAUCUAAACUAACCAGAGUUUGAUUGAAACAAAUAAACAGAGUUUAACUAGAAAACUAUUUUUCAAAUUUGACCGAAAUAUGAGUCAUAUCCAACAUCUUUGAAAUAUGUGGUUUUUUUAGGUUGGAAGAUAAGAUUAGUGUAAAAAUUUAAAUACAAUAAUUUUUGGGUCCUUAGAUUAGGGAGGGAAAAGAAAAGAGAUUGAGAAAUAUGACUUCCGACCAGAAGACUAAUGGUGUCGAAGUCUGUUUUUUUAUUUUUAUUUUUUUAGAUAAAUAUCAAAAAUUAUUAAUGAACAUUAGUACAAUGUGUGAUUUGAUAAAUGAACUUUGAUUCGGUGUAAUUAUACGAAUGAAACUUUAUUAUAAUUCAAAUGUAUACAUGAAGUUUUAAUUUUGACUCAAUUGUACACAUAUUUAAAAAUAAAGACAUUAAUCUAAUUUUCUAUUAAAUAAAUAUAAUUAUUUAUGUAUACAUAAAAAAUAAAAUGGUAAUACAUACAUUACCCGUAAAGUCAAUAUAGUCUUUUAAAGAUGUCACCCACCCACCCACUAAUUAAUAAUUAAAUAAAAAAUUACUAAUUUUAUAUUAAAACUUAGAUAAGGGAUGGUCAUUCUUUAUGACUUUUCUGCAGUUUUCAGUGUAAUUUUCUGGAUGAUAAUGAAUAGCAGCACAUGAUACUACGAAUAAAGAACAAGUUGGGUAGAAUAAUUCAAUUGAAUUUAUUAUAUUAUAUACUUUUUAAAAGGGUAAAAGUGGGAUUGGCCAAGAAUGGAAUUUAAUUUUAGUGCUAAUUGAAAAUUCAAUCACAAGUUUUUAUCACUCCAUGUAUAGUUUAAAUUACUCUUUUAUACUAUACUCUUAUUAUUAAUUAUUAAUAAUGUUGAUGUAGGCUAGCGUGUUCAUAUUUCUUAUUAAAGGUAGUAGUUAUUUCAAUAUACAAUUUUUUUUUUUUGGAAAUUUUGUCCCAUUCUUUUGUUUCAUGUCAUGUUCGAAAAAGAGUUUGAAUAAUAGGUUUAGAGUAGUAAAAAAUGGCUCGUUUAAUAUUACAAUAAUAUUUGUUACAUGUCAAAUCGGUUUCAUGUCGUGUUAAUAUAUGGAAUUUGAUUUCCAAUUUAUUAUUAUUAUUUCUUUUUGAAACUUUAUUAUACGUUGUUAUUAUAUUCACUCUUUUUGAUAUAAUACUUAGAACUAUUUAUAGUUCCUCCAUUAAUCUUAAAUAGAAGGAUAAUACGCUUCAAUAUACUCAAAAUCACGUCGUCCUGCACUAGCAACAAUGCUGAUGUCAAUCGAGUUAGAACUCAAACCCACGUGUUCUUAAACUACUAGGUUUGAUGACCCCUAGGAAGAUAUCAUAGGCUAGACGAGGUUGGGAGAUAAAUGAAUAUCAAUCAAUCGAUUAAUUAGUUUGAGGUCGGGAGAUAAUAAUUGACUAAUCAGUAGCUAAUCCACCCUAAAUUCCUAAUCCGAAGUUUGUUACAAAUCUUGAAACGAGUUAAUCUUCCUGAUUAAUUUAUUAAUUUUAGUCAAUUGUUAUUUUUCUUAUUUAAAUUCUCUCAUUAAUCUAUUUUAUGGUUUAUCGUAAUAUAGAGAUUAAUUAUUACUACUUAGACUUAUUAUUAUAAAAAGGUUUUCUUAGAUUUAUUCCAUCAUUUCUUGGGUACAAUCCUUAAAAUACUUCCAAAUAUUUUGUUGUAUUAAUUAUAUUACACUUUGACUUGUGCACUUGCGAACACCACUAUUCUAAAUUCUUAUAUAUUUUUAGUGUAUUAUUUUAAUAUAAACAAUAACCCCUUUACCACUCCCUUGGCCCACUUUAGCUACAGACCCCUGCUUCAAACGAAUUGGGUCAGUGGUCCGACCUUCCCCACUACCUCCAGCCUCAACCAAGACGCCCUUUCCUUUUUUAUUAGCUUCCAGAAUUAUCUCCCUUAUUUCCUCCCAUCCUUCCCUAAUAUCAUUGACAGAAUCAAGAACUUCAAAUCUAGAAUCCACAAUCAAAAGCCCCGAAUUAGCGUUACCUGGCUUCCAAGGAUCCCUAAAAUUACGCCUUAAAUUUCUCUCCACAAGCAUCCAUGGUCCGUAGACUGGUGACUUCUCUGGUCUAUCAUCUUCCACCACCACCGCCAUAUCCGCCAUGGAGUGUUUCGCAUAAGCCCUCGAAGCCCCCUUGUUCUUGUUGGAGUUGGAAUCCUCAAUUGUAAGUCUCUGAAUGAAAUAUUUCAACCAUUAAUCAAAAAAUAACAGAGAAACUCAACUAAAAAGGAGAAAAAAUCAAUUUGUACGAAAGGGCUAGGGAAGUAGUUUACAGAAUAAUUGCUUCUUCCCUGAUCGGCCCGUUAUAAAAUUGAAAAUGUUUUGCAUCCGUUUAGGGUGCGGCCCUUCUUCCUCUGUUUCCUCGUAGAUAUCACGUUUUCGUUUUACAAGGGAAGUGCUGCCUGCGGAUCCAUCGUUUUCAGUAGAGUGAUGAUGGAUAUGUUCCAAGUUUCGAGAAGAUUGAAUGGUUUGGCACUGCAGCUCUUUUAUUUCUUCCAAAUCUUUCUCAUACAUUAUUCUAACACCACACUUCUUCACCUUAACAGAAGGAUACCAUUUUGAAGAUUGGAAAGACAUCUCAAGCGAUAAAUUCUUGGUUUCACAUUUAUCCUUUAAGAAAAAUGGAUAUAAUAAUUCACGCGAGAAAUAACGAAGAAAAAGGUGGUCCUUCGUUAUGCGUCGUCGAUCAAGAUUAAGGAAAUAGAAAUCGACCGAUCGACUAUAUUUAACUUGAACAACAGAUCCAUCACGACUAGAUUGUCCAGAAUAUCUAGAAUGGAUACAAGUUGGACCACCGAUAACCUUUAACUCGGAACCAUCAUCUCCGCCAAAAAUGCAGCAGAAAGCAACUCCAAUCCAUUGAUUGUCAUUCUGAAUAUUGAGAGGCAAAGGUAUUUCAAUUACAGAGCCGCCUCUCUGUUGGCUGAACCAUUCUGGGAUUUCAUUUCCAGGUAUAACAACAUCAAAUCUUUUUCUUGAAUUCUCAAAUGCCUGAAAAUUAAAACAUCAGUCGUUCUUGAAUUUGCAAAAUAAAAUAUCGAUGGUUCUGUAACUAAAACCAUGAAAAAGAAGAGAGAGAUCAACCUUAAUAUGUCUUUUCAGCAAUGUUAUUGCACUCAUGUUCUCAGCCAAUCUGUAGUUGUUAAUGGCUAUAAAGUAAGACCAAUUAUGUUUCCACUCACUUGUCUUCCUUGCUAGAAGCACAGGCAACGAUUCAAGCUCUCUGCAAUUACACACUCCAAGAUAUUGAAGAUUGGAAAGACGAGCAAGAGACGCAGCUAUGCUGGUGAAAUUGUUACCAUUAAGAUCAAGAACUUUCAAUGAGGAUAGACCAGAAAUAUCACUGGGAAUAUCUCCUUCACCCAUAUUGCACAGGCCGCAACUUGACAAACUAAGAUCUUCAAGCUUGGAGAGUCCAGUAAGAGAUGCCGGUAUUCUGUUGAAAUUGUUAACGCUAAGAUCAAGACGUGUCAAAGAGUAUAGACAAGAAAUAGCACUAGGAAUAUCUCCUUCACCAAGAUUGCAGGCCCUUAGUUUCAACUUUGUUAAUGACGUCAAACCGGAUAAUGAAGGUAGCAUUGGAGCUAUGGAAUUCAUCCUUCCUCUUUGGCUUACCUUGAAAAGAGAAAGGAGAUUUCUUUUUAACUUAUACGGACCCUUGCAUCCAUCGAAAGACAAAACUUUAAGAUUUUUCAAUUGAGAAAUGAAGGAUGGUGGUUCUUUUAUGGCUGUUUUACUCAAGUCAAGCUCUUCCAAAAAUUGUGCUUGAUGCAAAUUCUCUGGCAAAUAUUCUAACUUUAUAACAACCAGAACGAUCAAGAGAUUUUAGAUGUUCCAUUUUCCCAUCAAUCUCUGGAAAACUUGCAAGAUUUGAGCAACCCGAAAGAAUUAAAGUUUCAAGGGAUUCCAUUCCAAUUUUGGUUGGAAGGCUCCUAAGACUUUUGCAGUCUCUUAAAUUCAAAAGUUGAAGUCUCUUAAGCACUCCAAGUGAUGGAUGAACAUCUACUAAUCUGGUACAACCUUCCAUAAUCAACACUUCGAGAUAUGGGGCUGUUGUGAAGUCUGGUGUCUUGAUGAGGUUUUAGGACCCUUUAAGUUUGAUUAUUUUCAACUUAUACAAGGGCUGUCGAAAACAAUAACAGAUUAGAGAGAAAAGAGAAAACAUAAUAAACCUCAUUAUUAUUAUUAUUAUUAUUCAAAUUUUAACCGUUUAUAAUCUUAAAAAAUUUAAUCUUUUAUAUUAAAAUAAGCUAAAACACAAGGAUUAGAUGAAUUUAAUUCUUACUCUAUUUCCCUUCCAUAGUUGUUCAAUGCGACUAUAUGGUAAGAGAAGUACGACAAGGUUGUCUGGUUGAAAUUUUGAAGGCAAUGAUUUUAAAGGAUAUCUUGUCAAAUCUAAAAGCCGUAGCUCAUUAGAAAAAUAUUUGAGAUCAUCACAAUUUAGGAGGCAAAGUACCCUGAGCAAUCUCAAUUUUUUCAUCUUCGAGAAGGCAUCGACACUCAAAUUGAGCAUCUUGCUUGAUUCCCUACAAAACCUCGGGCAAACAAAAAAUGUUCAAUACCUAAAAGCUAUGUUUCUCCAAUACUAUCUUUUAAGGACUUUUAUCCGAUACUUAUAUCUAACAUGUGUCUAAAUAUGAGUAUUGAUAUAUGAUCCUUCAAGAACUCUUUAAAUACAUAAAAAAGUCUUUAAAAAAAAAUCACACAUACCCAUUUUAGACAUAUAUAUCUAUCAAACACUCACAUUAAGCUUCGAAUUACUGAAGCUUUAGAAACUAAAAUUAAAAUCUUAUUGGUGCAAUAAUAAUGCAUAAUUCUAUUUAUUGUUACUGAACGAAACAAUGACACAUCAUUAAAAAUGAAAGCAAUUGGUUUUAUUUUUAAAAAAUUUUGAUGACAUAAGAUUUUUUUCCAUUGAUUUUUAUUGGAUACUUUUACCAAAAUAGAAAGAAAGCAAAUAACAAUAUUAAUAAUAUUCAUCAUAAAUGUGUAUGUAUGUUUCUUACCUUUAAUUGUCGAUGAUCAUACUUUUAAUCAUUUCUGUAACCUAAAAAGGUAAGAAUAAAGAAUAAAUAACCUUAUGGUCAAAAUAUAGUAAAUAAAACGCUUUAAAUAAAGUAAAAUAUUUCUUAUGAGAGAGAUUUAAUUAAAUUAAAUACUUAUUUGUACAAAUCCUUAUUAACAAUAAUAAUCAACAAAAGGAAUUUAUCUCAAUGCUACUCAACAUCACUUUUUUUGUGGACUGCUAUAUCAAUCAAUUGCACUUAGCCUUACUCAAUUUUAUUUCAGAAAUAAAGUAAAACAUUUUCUAAUGAGAGUAUAUUAAUAUUUAUAUAUUUCAACAAAUGGAAAUUAUUUUAAGGUUACUCAAUGUCAUUUAAGGAUCGAUAGGUAAACCAGUUAAACUAAACUUUGGAUUUACAUCAUAUAUUAAUAAAAAAAAAUUGUAUGUAAUUUUUGUUGAAUGAUUUACCGUGUUUUUUGUUAGGACAUGAUGGACAUCCCUUUCCUUCCACAAUCUACAACGUUUUCCAGGUUCAUCAAUGCAUUUUUCUUCAACAAUUUUUCUUCCCAUUUCUUGCAACAAGGCAUGCAUAUGCAAAUAUUGGUUGUCAUCACUGACUUUUAUGAGAGAUUUCUUAAUGAGAACUUCGAUUCCAAUAUCUGGAAAAAACUCACAACCAUCCAAUACUUUCAUUACGAAAUCUUUCUUCUCCCCAUUGAAAAAGCAUGCUAUAUCUAGAAAUAUAUUCUUCUCCCUUUCUUCCAAUCCAUCAAAGCUAAUUCUUAAUGUGUCAAGAAUUUCUUUGUUAGAAUCUUGUUCAAGUCUUUCGAUUGCACUUCUCCAUUGAAUUGUAUCUCUACCGCACAAAAAUGAACCCAAAACUUCAAGAGCUAAGGGGAGACCAUCAGCAUAAUGUACAACAUGUUUAGAAAGCUUAAUAAAACCAUAUUUUGGCAUUGUAUCACUAUCAAAAGCUUUCAAAUUGAAAAGCCUAAGUGCUUCGUCAAGAUUCAAUGUUGUAGGCUUAUACACAUCAUCGAUUCGAUAAGAUAGGAGCAAAUGUUCAUCUCUUGUUGUUACAAUGAUCCUACUCCCUAAACUGAACCAAUCACGCCUUCCAACUAAGCAUUUCAAAUGUUGUAAGUUAUCAACAUCAUCAAGAACAACAAGAACCUUCCUGCUAGACAACCUGUGGCUAAUUAUGGCAUUCCCGUCAUGAACAUUGAAAAAAUUGAAGCAUUCAUUUGGCAAGAUUUGAGAAAGAAGUUGUUUCUGUAAAGAAACAAGUCCGCAUUUGUUUGAAACUUCUCGAAUAUCAGCAAGAAAACUUUUACCUUCAAAAUGAGGUGACAUUUGAGUGUAAACAACCCUUGCAAGAGUUGUUUUACCGACGCCACCCAUUCCGCAAAUUCCUAUAAUGCGGACAUCAUCUUCUCCAAUAUUUAUUUUUGAAUACAACUCCUCCAAACGCGAACUAAUUCCAACCAACUCAUCAUGAACAACCGGAUAUGUCUGACAUAAUUUCGCUGAUAUCUUCUUAACAAUGUCUCCAAUAAACUCUGAUUCAUGCCUACAAAGAAAUUAAAUUCAGUUGCUACUUUUUAAAUGCACUUUUUCAUUUUUAGUUCAGUGAAUCAUGAAAUAUAAUAUGGUUGGAAGCAAACAAAGAGCAAGAAUAAGACAGUAAGAUACAUUAUAAAAUCAAAUCACAUAACUUGCUCGUUAUAAGAAAUAUGGGGAUUCUUAAUUAAACACAAAAUUAUAAUAAUAAUAAUAAAACAAGUUUUCAGUCAUUAAAACUAAGAAAUAUAGAAGAAAAGAAGGAAUACCUAUCAUGUAAAUGCCAUCCCUUGAUGUUAGCCACUUCAAUCAAAGCAUUUCGCCACUUUUGGAUCUUGUCUUUAUUUUCUUUAUAUCUUUCUUCGUGUUUGGCAAAGGCUUUUUCAACUUUUUCUUUUUGUUUUCUUAAGUCGGAUGGAUCAACAUGGUAGAAAAUUGGAAAUACUUUAUGACCAUUGCCAUUUUUUUGUUUAACAAUCUCCGCAAGCUCCUCCAAGCACCGGCCUGAAAAGGCAUAGGUCUCCGAAAAAACGAUUACCGAGCACCAUGAUUGCUGAAUUACUUUCAAGAGUUCCGGUGCGAUCUCUUCACCUGCCUCCAAAUUUGGAUCAUCUCUAAAAGUGACGAUCCCAUUUCUAUUUAGAGCAUCGUAGAGAUGAUCCGUAAAGUUCUUGCGAGUAUCUUCACCUCUAAAACUCAAGAAAACAUCGUAUUUCUUUCUAGAAAUGGAUGAGGAAGUCGAAAGUAAUGACGACAUGAGGAUGUAUGAGAAGAAAAAUAUAUGUGGAUGUAAUGUUCAAAAUCAGAAAACAGAUGGCUCAAUACCUCAGAAACAAAGUAGAAAGAAUAAUGAAAAUUCAAGGGGAAAACAAAGAACUUGUGUAAGAAAUAUCUGUUUUACUUUUGGAAAUGAAUCUAUCAAUAUAAUAAUACCUAUGAAAGUGAGUAGGUGUGGAAAUUCAGGGUUAUAGAUGUUCUUUCCAGGAAAACUCCAAUUGACAGAAUGGUAUCGUUUAAUAUUGAAGUAAAGUGUUGGAGAGAAUCAUAUCAUUUAAUAUUCAAUUAAUCUUUUAGAUAUUAUAUCUUUAAUAGCAGUAUUUAUUAUAAAAUAAUAUAUUUUAUUUAAAUUAUUGAAUAUAAUUAAAAUAUAUUAAUUUAUCAAUUCAAAUAUCAUAUAAUAGAAAUUUUUUAAAUAAUAAUUAAUUCAUUUUUAACAUAUUAAGUUGUACUUUAUGUAACUAAUUCAAAGUAUUAUUAUUUAAAAUAACAACUAAUAUGUUUAAAAUUCUACUCAAAUAAUAACUCUAUUUUACAUGAAUAAAAUAAACACAAUUUUUGUUACUUUAUUCUUAGAGUUCUAUUGAAGUAAGUUAUAACUCCAUUUUAAAAUUAGCACAAGUUUUUUAAUUAAUAAUUGUAAUUUUAAUUUUAAUUAUUUUUAAAUAGAUAAUUAUCACAACUUCUAUUAAUUUAUAAUUAUUUUAUUUUGAUACAAUGCUUCAAAUUACCAUAACCCUUCCCAACACUUAAUUUAGAGGAUAAAUACACCUCAACAUGCUCAAACCUAUAUCCUCUUACGUUGGAAACUAUGUCGAUGCCAGCCGAGCUAUACUCAGUCAGUAAUUAUAAUUAUCUUUAAAUGUAUAAUUAAUAAUUGUAUUUUUAUAUAUGCAGAUUACAUAUUAAGUAUUAAGUAUAUAUAUAUAUAUACACAGAUCUUCCUUUCUAAUAAAUUAACAAGUGCCAAAUUACCCGACUCUACUCCAUCACUUUUUAAAAAGCCCCUCAAUCAAUGCCAUCGCCCCUCGUUAACAUUCCCCCCCAACAAAAGCCACCGCGCAUGUUGGAAUCUGCUUUAACUUUACCCCAUAAUAAGCGGAGACCUUGAAAGGCACUCAUUCCUUAACACCAUCGUUCCCACGAUGCCACUACUGAAAACAAAGGCAUUUCUAUUUGUCAAAAGUUUCCAGCAGGCCAUAGCAAAAAGAUUACCCCAUCCACAGAAAAAGUUGUCUGAGUUUCGGAGAAACUCACUGUUCUCCCAUUUCCUACUGCCCAAUAGACACCAUUCACUACAUCAUCCCAAAUACUGGACAAAGCCCUCCAGAGAAACGAGCAAUUAGAAGGAUGUAUAGAAGACGACCAUCUACUGAUUCACCCCAUACUUGUUUCCAAGGACUUUAACCCAUAGCACAUUCAUGUUAGAAAUGACAUUAAAACCAACACAAUAAGAGUUGGAUUCAAAUCCAAAGGAAUUGAGUCACCUUCAAAGCACCUUUGAAUCAAACAACAAAUUUGAUCCUUAAACAAAACUCCAUUAAGAUUGAAAAAAGCAAGCAUGGAAACCAUCAACAUCAGGAGCCUUCAAUGGUGCCAUACUAAACAAAGCUUUACUUGCCUCUUUCUUCAAAACCCUAUCAUCUAAAGCCACAAGUUCCUCAACUCCCAAAGUAGGAAAGCAAUUUGUUAAAAAUAAGCUAACAUAUAUUAACUGUUUCAUAUAUAAUCCUUUCGCAUUUAUUAUAUUCGUGAAAAAUACAUAAGUUAUCUACGUAGCCAACGAAAUGAUUGGUUAAUUUACUUGAUAACUUUUUGCAUGCUCUAAAUUUUAAUUUAUUAAAGGGAACUACCACUACUAUAUUACCUUUAACCUACAAUUUUAAUCUAAAAUUUUCUAGAUGCAUAAGAAUGAGAAAUAUUUUGGACUAAUUUUUGUUGUUUGGUAUUGUAACAACCCAAAAUCUGUGGGCACCAGAAAAGUAUGUUAUCGGGCCUCCGUCUUAGUGAAAUAAGUUCGAAAAUAAUUAUUAAAAAUAUUUAUGAGUCUAGUAGUGUGUUUAAUUAGGUUUUAAUUAAGUAAACUUAGCUUAAUUUAGAGUAAUUAGUAAAAAAGAUUAAAUUGAAUAAGGGUAAAAGUUUAAUUAUAGAUUAAAGAAAAAUUAGGACUUAAGAGGAAAUUAAACCAUUUCCUAUAGCUGAGGCGGUUUAACGUGGAAAAUAUCAAAAAUUUUAUUAAUUAAAAAAAUAUAUUUAUUUAAUAAUUAAGUAUAUUAUAUUAUAUUAUAUUAUUAUUAUAUAUAUAAAAGAAACAAAUAAGUUAAAAAGAAGAGGAAAUGAAAACGAAAACAGAGAAGAAACAAGGGAGAAAGAAGAAAGAAAAGGGAAAAUAGGGUUUAUGAAGCUUGGAGUUAAUUGGUAAGCUCAAUCAAGUCAUUUUCUCAUAAUUUUGAUAUUUUAGAAGUCUUAAAAUAAGUUUUGAUGAAAUUAAGUUGUUAGUUUGGAAGUUCUUAGGUUUUUAAACAAAGUUCAUGUUGAAUAAAAUGAUGAAAUAGAGGUUUAAUUGAAUGAAAUUCAAGUUAGAAUAGAUAUAAGGAUUGAAUUGCAAAGUAAGCUAUAAGUUUUGUGUUUUAGAGACUAAAUUGAGGAAAAUUCGGAAUUAAGAAAAUAUGUUGAAAAUUUAAUAGUUAAAUUUGAGUUUAAAUGAAAUUUGAAUAGGAAUAAGGUGUGAAUUGGUGUUAUAAAUUUGGUUAUUAACAUUUUACAUCAAAACAGUUUUGGGAAGUAGCAGUGGUCUGACUUUGAAAAUUCACUAAAAAUUUUAUAAAUUGAACUAGAGGAUGAACAAAAUAUGGAAUUAAACCUUAUUGAGUCUAGUUUCUUAUAGUAGAAACAGUGUAAGCAAUUAAUUGAUGAAUCAAGAGAUAUUUGAAAUUUUGUAAUACUGGUUCCGGGUGAUUUUGAGAUGCCCUGUUUUAACUUUGGAAAAUCAUUAAAAAUUGUACAAAAAUAAUUAUGUAGUGUAAUUUAUAUAUGUGAACUCCUUAAUUAAUCUAGUUUCAAAAUAAAUAAACAAGAACCUUAUUUGAGUUCUGUACAAUGAGAUAAUUUAUUUUUAGUAGAGAAAGGUCAGAACUGUCAAAUGAAAUAACAGGGGAGUAUUUAAUGAAUAAACUGUACUAAAUGGCUAGACCAAAAAUUCUAGAAAUUUUAUGGUUAGAAGAUAUAUGAGUCUAGUUUUAAGAAAAAUUUACGGAUAUUAAUUUGGAGUUUCGUAGCUCAAGAUAUAAAUAAUUUAGUAACAAUGACUCAAGUAGACAGCUUAAUGGUGAAAUUAUAUAUAUACAUUAAAAAUGGUUAAAUUUGCAUGUUUAGGCUCAUGAAUUAAAUUGAAUCAUGUUGUAUUGAUGAUUAUAAAUUAUUAUUUUCGUAGCCAACAAAGAACCUGAAGCAUCAGCAUCGAAAGGAAAGGAGAAAGUCAUCGAGGACUAAAACGGGAGAAUUACGGUGUGUAUUACUAUAAUUCGAAUUUUAAUUAUUAUUGAUUGCUGAAAUUUUAAUUGUUAUGUAUGGUAAAUAAGACUUGAGGUAAGUAUGUGAAAUUGAAAUUAGAAAAAGUAAAAUAAUACCCUAUUAACUUGUCGGACUAGAUUCGAUACAAAUGGCAUGCCAUUGGAUUUGUGAUGUGAUGAAGAGAUUGUAGUUCGGCCGAGAAGAUGUUUCUAUUAUUAUAUACUUCGGUUUAUCCGAGUAGGCAUUUAAUGCCUUAUUGGUGUGUUGGGAGGAUAUAUUAUACCGGUGUGUUAUGGAGGAUUUACAAUAUUCCGGGUGUGUUUGGGUUGGAUAUUCUGGUGUGUUUGGGUGGAAAUCCGUGUAUCUGUCAUAGUCCGAGCUUUGUUAAUAGGGUAAAUAAUUGAAAUGAAAUUUUGAAAAUGAGAUUAUUUGUUUUAGCACUAUUGAAAAGUACGAGAAAGAAUGUAUAAGUUAAAUUAUGAAUUGAGUUAGUAUGAGAAAAAAAAAUGAAUUAUGAAUUUAAGAUUUUAUGAAGUAAAAUAAAUAUAUAUAAAAGUAGUUUAAAUAAUUAUAAAAUUUAUGGUUGAUGUUUGUAAUUUAUUAUUAUUAAAUAGUCUUGAUUUAUAGUAAUACCACUGAGUAUAUCCAUACUCAGCGUACGGUUGUCUCCGUGCGCAGGUUAGUAGAAGUCAAGUAUUCCGCUCAGCAUCCAGAACAAUCCCGACUCCAACACAAACUUGGUGAUGUAUAUUUUUCUUUUGGGUAAAGUGGCAUGUACAUAGGUGUUGUUUAGUCACCUGAAUAUGUAUAUUGUUUUGAGUAGUGAAGGAUGAAUUAUAAGAUUUAGAUGGCUAAAUGAAAUAGUAAGAAAAGUACAUGAUAUUUUGAUACAUGAAUAUUAAGUUGUUAAAUGAAUGAAGUUUUUAAUCAAUUUUGAAUGAUGCUAUGAUAGUAAUUAAGUUAAAAUUUUGUUAAUAAUAUAAAUAUUAGUUAUAUGAAUGUGAAAUAUUGGUGUUGGUUGUUUUGGUUUAAAUUUGCAGGAGGGUUAAGUAAAAAUAAGCAGAAAUGCUGCCGAAAUUUUUAUAAAAAAAAAAUAUUUGGAAUACGCGAACAAGUUCCGUUCUUCUUUUAAUACGUGUUGAACUUCGAGAGUCCAAGAUAGUGACUUGAUUAUUAUAUUAUACUAUGAAAGUUAUAUUAAUUGUAAAUUAUUCGUAAGUUGUUUGAUAUGUCCGGUAAUGCCUCAUAACCGCGUUCCGACGACGGUUUGGGGUUAAGGGGUGUUACAGGUAUUGCGAAUUUCUUCAAUUGGUGGGGGAUUGAUGAUUCGUAGUGGUGAAUUAAGUUUUUGUUUUGGGUCUGAGUGUAUUGGACUAUCUGGAAUUGCAUAGAGUUUCAGAUAAUGUGGUGUGCUUUUAUUUUUGUGUAGGGAGAUGCUGGUGUUGCCUUGUUGUAAGGGUUUGCCUUGUUGUAAGGGUGAGGGACCCUGGACUUGUGGGUUUUAAUGUUUGACAUGUUGUGAUUAGGCAUGCUAAACAUGUGCUUCAUUGUUCUAUGGACUAUUUUCAAUAAAACUUAUUUGGCUAAGAAAAAAAACUGCAUAAAUUUAAUAAAAAAAUAGAAUAAAAGAAAGAUUAUAUUAAGCCUGUUGUUGAAAAGAUAAAAGUGACCGCAUAGAAAUCAAGUUUCUAAUAACAAGAGAAUUUUUACUUCAAACAUAUAAUUAAAUCAGUCAAAAUUUACAAAUGAUUUCCUAAUGAUUUAUUUUUUGAGCACUUUUGUUGGUGUUUGACACACUUUAUCCGGAUGAAGUAUGAAGCUCAGUGUAAACUUGAGCAACAACGUAAUUUAUCCGGAUAAAGAAUGAAGGAAGAUUAAGCUUAAAAAAAAACUCUGUAUUUGCAGGAUAAACAAAACAGAAUUUUACUUGGUAAAAGAAAGCAAAAAUUGAGAGAGUAUUUUUUGGAAUGAUUUCUAUUGAAAUUCAUUAGAUUGAAAAAUGGCAUACUGCCAGUACAUAUACCAGUCAUAAGCUGGCCAGCUUUGACAAGUUUCACUUACUACUUUUAGGCUUCAUUGCAACUUGCACAACUUGCAAAUACACUACCUACUUAGUUCUAAUUUAACUAAGUUACAAAAUAUUACAAAAUGAAACUGAAAUUGAACAAUAGCAUCAACUUCAGUAGCUGUAAGUACUUGAUCCGAAAAUAUUACAGCAGUUUGAUCUGCUUCUUCAUACUUCAUUCGGAUAACUUAUGUUGUACGGUCUGCUCCUUAGUUGCUUUAUCUGCUGCAUGCAUGCCAACUUCAACACUCCUCCUUGGCUUGCAUGCUGCAAACUCCCAUUUUGGCUCUUAAAUCUUCAAAUCUUGACACACAAGGGGCUUUGUUAGGAUAUCAGCAAGUUGUUCUUCAGAACUGCAAUGAAUUAGCUUCACUUCUUGAGCUUGCUCCAUCUCUCUAACAAAGUGAAAUUUGAUCUUAAAGUGUUUUGUUCUCCCAUGGAACACUGGAUUUUUUGCAAUUGCAACAGUAGAUUGGUUGUCACAAUUAAUCUCUGUUGCUUCCCUUUGGUGUUGAUUUAAAUCGGCCAUUAUUUUUCUUAGCCAAAUGGCUUGGUUGACAGCUCCUGUAGCUGCCACAUACUCUGCUUCAGCAGUUGAUUGAGCAACACCAGUUUGCUUCUUUGAACUCCAGUAAAAGAUGGCUGAACCAAGGGUGAAUAGAUACCCUGAGGUACUCUUCAUAUCAUCUAUCGAUCCAGCCCAAUCACUAUCAGCAUAACCAAUUAAUUUCAUGCUUUCAGCCUUGGUGAACAUCAUUCCAUAGCUCAGUGUACCUUUAAUGUACCUGAGAACUCUUUUGGCAGUUUGGAAGUGCUUUUCAUUGCAGCAAUGCAUGAAUCUUGAAAGCAAACUGCAGCAAUGCAUGAAUCUUGAAAGCAAACUUAUAGCAAACAUAAUGUCUGGUCUAGUGGCAGUUAAAUAGAGUAAACAUCCAACUAGACUUCUAUAGGUUGAUUCACUAACCUUCUCAAAAUCACAUUGGCUUGAUAAUUUCUCUCCAAUGGCAACUGGUGUACUUAUUGCUUUGCAAUUCUACAUGGAGAAUUUGUUUUGAAUUUUUAAGGCAAAAGCCUUCUGACUUAGGAAGAUCCCUUGCUGAGUUUGGGAUAGUUCCAUGCCAAGGAAAUAAGACAUUUGUCCCAAAUCAGACAUCUCAAACACUUGUUGCAUCUUGCACUUGAAGUCUGUCAACAUUGCUUUGUCUCCUCCUGUUACUAACAAAUCAUCAACAUAUAGAGACACUAUCAGUUGAGUUUUUCUACCUUGCUUUUUCACAUACAAAGUAGGUUCACUGAUGCUUCUUUCAAAUCCAAGGCUAGCUAGAUAGCCAUCAAUCCUGCUAUACCAGGCUCUUGGAGCCUGUUUCAAGCCAUACAAGGCUUUCUUCAAUUUGUAUACCUUGUCUUCUUGACCAACAAUUUUGAAGCCUUCAAGCUGCUCAACAUGUAUCUCUUCUUCAAGGAGACCAUUGAGAAAGGCUGACUUCACAUCGAGUUGAUGAAUUUUCCAUUGCAAUUGUACUGCUAAGGAAACUAGUAGCCUUAUGGUGUCAAGCCUAGCCACUGGUGCAAAGGUUUCAAAGUAGUCAAUGCCAUACUUUUGGCUGAACCCUUUUACAACCAGCCUUGCUUUCAAUUUGUUCAAGCUUCCAUCAGCAUUGUGCUUGGCUCUAAACACCCACUUCACUCCAAUGACCUUUCUGUUGAGUGGUCUUUCAACUAGCUGCCAGGUCUAAUUCUUCUUAAUCAUACUGAUUUCAUCAGCCAUUGCCUGUUUCCAGCCUUGAUGAGCUUCAGCUUCUUUAAAACAGCUUGGUUCAAUAGCAGCCACAUGAGCUCUUUCAUAAAUCUCAGCCAAUGGUCUAGUGCCUCUGACUGGUUCAUCAUCAAUGUCCAUUUCAAGACCAUUUUGAUCAGCUUCAGUUUGGUCUGUUGCAAGAUCUUUAGAGACUGCCUCUGGUUCAUUUUUAUCCCAGUUCCAGCUUGCUUUCUUAUCGAAUACAACAUCUCUACUCAUAGAGACUUUGUUUGUUGAAGGAUCAAGUAUUCUAUAACCCUUCUUGAUACUGCUGUAGCCUAUCAGAAUACCAGGAUGAGCUUUCUUAGCAAGCUUGUCUCUUUUUGCUGCUGGAAUAUGAGCAUAACAAACACAUCCAAAGACUCUUAGGUGAGCCAAUGAUGGUUUGAACCUGAACCAGGCCUCGAAUGGAGUUUUCUGAGCCAAAGCCUUGGUUGGGAGCCUAUUUUGGAGGUAAACAGCAGUGUUAACUGCUUCUGCCCAAAAUGUCUUACGCAAAUUUUUUUCAAACAUCAAGCUUCUGUUCUUUCUUUCACUUACACCAUUUUGUUGAGGUGUAUAAGUGUUGGUAAGCUGGUGUUUGAUUCCUACUUCAUCACAAAACUAUUUAACCUAGAUGAAGUAUACUCAGUCCCAUUAUCAGACCUCAAUGUCUUCAACUUGCAACCUGUUUCAGUCUCUGCUGCAGCUUUAAACUUAAAAAAUACUGAAGCCACUUCUGAUUUCUGUUUCAAAAAAUAAAUCCAGCAAUAUCUCAAGUAAUCAUCAAUGAAUAAGAUGAAAUACCUGCUGCCAUUCAGAGAUUGAGUCUUCAUUGGACCACACACAUCAGUGUGUACAAGUUGCAGUCUUUGAGAGGCUCUCCAAGCUUUGUUUGUAGGAAAUGGUAGUCUAGCUUGUUUUCCUAGCUGACAUACUUUACAAACUUCUUCUUUUUCAACUGAGUUAGUGAAGUUUUCAACCAAAUCUUCUUUGGUUAGCUGAGUAAUUGAGUUGUAGUUGACAUGGCCAAGUCUUUUGUGCCAUAGCUUGGAUUCAUCCUGAGCAGCUGCGUAGGCACUGUCUGCGCCCUUGUUCCAGUCCACCAUAAAACUUUUGUCAGCCAUGGUCAUUGACAUGAGCUUGGAUCCAUUUGGAUCACUGAUUAGGCACUCAUUGCCUUUGAAUACCACAGAGUAGCCCUUUUCAAGCAACUGAGCUAUACUGAGCAGGUUUCUAUCUAUUUCAGGCACCAAAAAUACAUUUGACACAAGUUUGGUGCCUGUAGGAGUGUCAAUCAGCACAUCUCCCUUGCCUUUCGCUUUGAUGAAGUGUCCACUCCCAACCUUUACCCUUGUUUUGAAGCUUUUGUCAAUUUUCUUAAAGAUGGCAGCAUCAGGAGUCAUGUGGUUAGUACAUCCACUGUCAAUCAACCAUCCUUUUGUGGCUUUUCUUUUGUUAGUUGGGCAAGAAACUGCAAAGACUUGCUCUUCUUCGUCACUGCCUUCUUCUGCUACUUGAGCUUCAGCUCUUGGCUAUUGAGGUUGAUUUGGCCUCUGUUUGCCUUUGUUUUUGCAAACUUUUUCUGCAUGGCCCAUCUUUUUGCAGAUUUUGCACUGCACAUCAGGUCUAAACCAAUAUACUUCACCCGGAUGACUUAGCCUUUUACAGUGUGGGCAAGGUCGAUAUUUUCUUGCACCAUCUGCCUUUGGCUUGUCUGACCAGGUUUUCUUCCCCUUGUAUCUAGAGGAGUUUGAGGCUGGUCUAGUUUUGGCUUGGAAGGCACCUUCUUGAUGCUCCUCCAGUCUACUUGCUCUCCUUUGCUCUUGAGCAUAAAGAGCAUUAAUCAGUUCUGUCAAGGAUAUGCUGGUCAAGUCCCUCGAGUCUUCAAGAGAUGAGAUCUUUGCCUCAUACCUUUCAGGUAAAGUUGAGAUCACCUUCUCUACAAUUCUUGCUUCACUAAAUUGAUCUCCAAGUAGCCUUAUGCUGUUUACUACAGCCAUGAUUCUGUCUGAGUACUGCUUGACAAUUUCUUCCUCUUUCAUCUUCAAGUUUUCAAAGUCCCUUCUUAAAUUCAGUAGCUGCUGCUGCCUUGUUCUGUCAGUCCCUUGGAACUCCUCUUUCAACUUAUCCCAAGCCUGCUUUGGUGACUCACAAGCCAUGAUUCUUGUGAAAAUCACAUCAGAUACACUGUUCUGGAUACAUGACAUAGCUUUAUGCCUCUUUGUUCUUUCAUCAGCAUGCUUCCUGAUCUGAGCCACUGUUGGAUUGGCUCUGAGUGGUUCUGGUUCAACAUCUGAGUUGACCACUUCCCACAAAUCGAAUGCCUGCAGGUAGGUCUUCAUUUUCACUACCCAAAUGUGGUAGCCCUCUCCAUUAAAAACUGGUGGUGCAGUUGGUGAGAAGCCUGAUGAAGCCAUGGUUGUAAGAAUUGAAAUAUGACAGGUCCACUAAGAAUAAGGCUCUAGAUACCAAUUGUUGGUGUUUGACACACUUUAUCCGGAUGAAGUAUGAAGCUCAGUGUAAACUUGAGCAACAACGUAAUUUACCUGGAUAAAUAAUGAAGGAAGAUUAAGCUUAAAAAAAAAACUCUGUAUUUGCAGGAUAAACAAAACAGAAUUUUACUUGGUAAAAGAAAGCAAAAAUUGAGAGAGUAUUUUUUGGAAUGAUUUCUAUUGAAAUUCAUUGGAUUGAAAAAUGGCAUACUGCCAGUACAUAUACUAGUCAUUAGCUGGUCAGCUUUGACAAGUUUCACUUACUAUUUUUAGGCUUCAUUGCAACUUGCACAACUUGCAAAUUGCAACUUGUAAAAUUAGAUAAACUGAUAUAUCAAUCUUAUCAGCACCGAAUGCAUUAAAUACACUACCUACUUAGUUCUAAUUUAACUAAAUUACAAAAUAUUACAAAAUGAAACUGAAAUUGAAUAGUAGCAUCAACUUCAGUAGCUGUAAGUACUUCAUCCGGAAAUACUACAGCAGCUUGAUCUGCUUCUUCAUACUUCAUCCGGAUAACUUAUGUUGUACGGUCUGCUCCUUAGUUGCUUUAUCUGCUGCAUGCAUGCCAACUUCAACAACUUUAGGCGUCUAUUUUAUUUAUCUAUUUUUUUUAAAGCAUGCAACUUUUGUUUAGUUUCAUACUACUUAUAACAACAACAAAUGAUUUUAAUUUGUAAGUCAAAUGAUUAAUUUUUUCUUGUACCUACAUUUUUCUAAUGUCAAAGUAUUUUUCAGUAUCAAAUGUGUAAUUAACUUCUCCUAUUUAAAGAAAAAUAAUACCUCAAUUAUUUCACUUAUGAUUUGCCUUGUACCCAUACCCAACUUUAUGGCAAAACCUGGCUUCCUCCCUCCUUUAAUGUUUGCACUGCUAUUUGCAACUUUUUGGGCUAUUUUGUCUGUGAAUUCACCCAACAUCAUCAUUCAUCAAUCGGCUCUUCUAACAAUGAAAUCUCAUGAUCCUCACAAUCUUUUAAUAAUCAAUUGGUCUAUCUCUUCCUCUAGAUUGGUAUGACCUACGAAUCCAGCUAUCACAGAUCACUGUUUUGAAUUUGUCAAGCAUGGAUCUCACAGCCACCAUUUUAUCGCAAUUGAAAAAUCUUUCUUUGCUUGGCUCGACAUUCAUUAAAAUAGUUUCCAAGACUCUUUACCCAUUACGUUAACGAAUUUGCAUUGGCUGAAAAUUUUCAACUUUGGUGACAACAACUUCAAUAGAUCAAUUCUAUCAUGGUUUGGUCACUUCGCUAGCAUUAAAAAAUAUAUAAACCAACACUUUAGUUUUAGCUCAUUCAUAUAUCUCACAAAGAAAUUAAGGUUAGGAGAUACCUAACUCUAUUAUUCGACAAGUAUGGGGUUGUGGAGUUUUUAUGGUUUGCUACUUGGUACUAUGUGUAAAUCAGGAGCUGCAUUGAAAAUCUUACUGUUACUUCUCUUUAAGAAUAUUAUUAAAGCAUAGCUUAUCUAAGAAGUCGGCCUAAUUGACACCAAUUAAUUGGUUGAUAGCUCAAUUGACAUAAUAUAUAUAUAUAUAUAUUUACUCGAUGAUUCAGUUUCACUUUGCAAGAACUAAACUGGUUUUAAAGUUAUGCUUCAAUAUUUAAAACAAUUGCUCAUAGAAAUUGAAUAAGAAAAAAAGAAUAAAACAAUAACCAUGAAUUGCUUACCUUUGAGGUUGUUAUCAUCGAGAUACCAAGUUAAAUUUUCGAUUUUCGAUAUAUAAGGAUACAAGCUUCAACUACUUUUUUACCCUUGAAUAAGCUAUUUGGAAUUCUAUUAGAAAUUUGAUUUUCACUCAAUUUUAACUUUUCUAGUUUUGACAAAUUGCCCAAAAUAGAUAGAUAACACCAGUGAAGUUGUCAGUGUGCAACUAUAAGACUCGAAGUUCAGCGAAGUGACAAAACCACAAUGGAAUUUCUCCAUUGAAGUUGUCGUCAAAGUUCAAAGAUUUCAGCUGAUACAAAUUUGUUAACGCUAUAGUCAACAGCCAUGGGAACUGUUUUCAUGAAUGUAGAGCCAAGCAAGGAAAGAUAGAUUUUCCAAUUGAGAUGAAAUGGUGCCUACAAGAUCCAUGCUUGACAAAUUCAGUGGUGAUGUUGGGUGAAUUCAAACACAAAAUAGCCUCAAAGGUUGCUAUUUGGCAGAGAUUGAGGUACACUGUAAAAGCCAAUUCCACCAAUUACCCUCUUGGAUUUGAACACCUGAUAAGGCUUUCACCCAAAAAACUGCUCUAAGCUUGGUAAGAAAGAGAAUCUAUUCAACCGGAAAAAAGUUCGCAUUAAAAGUAAAAUCGCGCCAGCCAUAUCGACCAUAACCCCGCUGCACAACAGAGGAGCGACCACUGCUUAAUAUCACCUUUAAACAUCCACCCAUUGNNNNNNNNNNNNNNNNNNNNNNNNNNNNNNNNNNNNNNNNNNNNNNNNNNNNNNNNNNNNNNNNNNNNNNNNNNNNNNNNNNNNNNNNNNNNNNNNNNNNNNNNNNNNNNNNNNNNNNNNNNNNNNNNNNNNNNNNNNNNNNNNNNNNNNNNNNNNNNNNNNNNNNNNNNNNNNNNNNNNNNNNNNNNNNNNNNNNNNNNNNNNNNNNNNNNNNNNNNNNNNNNNNNNNNNNNNNNNNNNNNNNNNNNNNNNNNNNNNNNNNNNNNNNNNNNNNNNNNNNNNNNNNNNNNNNNNNNNNNNNNNNNNNNNNNNNNNNNNNNNNNNNNNNNNNNNNNNNNNNNNNNNNNNNNNNNNNNNNNNNNNNNNNNNNNNNNNNNNNNNNNNNNNNNNNNNNNNNNNNNNNNNNNNNNNNNNNNNNNNNNNNNNNNNNNNNNNNNNNNNNNNNNNNNNNNNNNNNNNNNNNNNNNNNNNNNNNNNNNNNNNNNNNNNNNNNNNNNNNNAAAAAAGGUAACUGAAAAAAGAAGAAGAGAAGAAACAGAAAGAUGAAAGGAAAAAGAGAGGAAAAGAUAAAAUAAAGAAAAAAUAAAACCCAUUUUUUGGUAGGCCACCAGCAGCCCACCACCAGUGGACCCGACCCAGCGCAGGCCCAACACCACUGACGGCCCACUAAGCCUCAAUUUGCAGCAAAAAAAGAAAAAGGGCUUGUCCUCCAAGACUUUGGUCUUUUGGGUGAAUUUUUUUCUUCUUUUUUUCUUUUUAAUCUAUUUUAUUUUGUUUAAUGUAUUUAAAUGGUAUUUUAUUUAAUUUAAAAUAGUAUGUUUAAAAAUAGUUUUUCAUAGAUAUUAUUAUGUCAUUUUAAUUACAUAUUUUUUUUAAAUAAUAAUAAUGAUAAAUAUUUUAAUGCAUAAGACAACGAACUGAUUUAGCAUCGAAUUAUCGAAUUCAUCGCUAUGUUGGAUGAAUAUCGAUGGCUCGUGUUAAAUACGGGACGCCCUUAUAAAAAAUUGAAAAUAUUCAAAAUUUCUCGUAUUUCAAUAAAAAUCCUCUUGUUUUAUUAGAAUCCCGAUUAAAUAUUAAAUUGAAUUAAUUUAACACUAAUUCGAUAGUUUCAUCGCCAUAUCGGGGUGAAUAUCAUCGAUUUGUGUUAAAUACAGUAUUUUUAAAGAAAAAUCGUUUUUUAAAAAAAAAAUUCAUGUCUUCAAAAUUUCUCGUGUUUCAAAAAUAAUAAUAAUAAAAUUUCCCGUGUUUCGAAAAAAAUACAUUCGUGUUUCUUUCUAAAAAAAUCGUGUUUUCAAAAAUUUCCGUGUUUCAAAAAUUCGUGUUUUCGUGUUUUCAAAAAAAUCUCGUGUUUCAAAAAAAAAUAAAAAUAAUAAAAAAUAAUAAAAAUAAUAAAAAAUAAAAAAAAUUCUCUUGAAUAUUUUUGGUAUUAUUGUGUUUUCAAAAAAAUUCAGUAUUCGACAAAUUUUGUGUUUUCGUGUUUUCAAAAAUUUUCGUGUUUUCAAAAAUCUUUGUGUUUUCAGAAAUUCUGGCGUUUCAAAAAUUUUCGUGUUUAAAAAAAAAAUUUACGUGUUUUCACAAAUUUUCGUGUUUCACAAAUUCUCGUGUUUUCAAAAACUCCAGUGUUUCAAAGUUUCCAUGUUUUCAAAAAUUCUCGCGUUUAAAAAAAAAAUUCGUGUUUCAAAAUAUUCUCGCAUUUCAAUUUUUGUUUUUUAAAUCGUGUUUCAAAAAAAUGUCGUGUUUUAAAAAUUUUCGUGUUUCUAAAAUUUCCCUGUUUUAAAAAUUCCCGUGUUUCAAAAAAAAAUGUCGUGUUUUAAGAAAAUUUCGUUUUUUCUAAAAAUUUUCGUGUUUCUAAAAUUUUCGUGUUUACAAAUUCUCGUGUUUUCAAAAAUUCUCGUGUUUUAAAAAAAAACUUUCGUUUUAAAAAAAGAAAUACUGCGCUUCAAAAUUCUCGUGUUUUUUUUUUUUAAAAAAAAGGGUUCUCGUAUUUCAAUCGGAUCACGACUAAAUAUUAAAUGGAACUCGUAUUAUUGAAAAUUAGGACAACAUGCGUUUAACGAGAUACCAAUUUUGGGCGUCGCGAGGGUGCUAAUACCUUCCUCGCGCGUAACCGACUCCCGGACCCUAAUUUUCUCUGGAUUUUGACGUGGACCUAAAAUUGUCUCUUUUUUAGAAAAGUUUAAAAAAAAUUCUUCUAAAAAAGGAUUUUAUUUGGUGUCCGAUCACACCUAAAAAAGAUCGGUGGCGACUCCUCUUUUGUAAAUAAAAUUUGAAACUUUAAUUUUUCAAUAAUCAUUUCAACUAGCGCCUAUUGCCAAAUUUUUAGGUCGCUACAAAUGGUAUAGUAUAUAUAUUAAGUUAAUGGUAUGGGCCGGGUUUGUUAUCUUGGAUUUGGGGUAUAGUGUUUUAAAUUAGUUUGUUGUUUGGGGUUUGGUACUAUUUUAAAGUAUUAAUUUAGGGUUUAGGGUCUUAAUGUUUAAGGUUAUAAGGGUUAGUGUUAGGGUUUAAGGGUUAAUUGAUUAAAUGAUGUUCUGGUUGAAUCUAGGUUUUGGAGUGCUCGUAGUGUGGUUUAAUUAAAUACUUGAUCUCAUGUUUAUACAUGUAUUUACGAUGUAUAUGUUUAUAUUCCCAGAUAAUUACACAUGGAUUUAGUAUUAUACGAACAUAUAUAUAUUUUUUAUUUGAAUUCAUUUCAUGUUUUAAAUAAUUAUUAGAAAUUAUUUACCUAAAAUUUAAAUAUUAAAUAUUUAAAUAAUAAUUAUUCAAUAUAAUUUAAUUUUUUUCAAAUUAGAUAUAUUGUUUGAAAGUAAACAAAAUUAGUUUAAAAGGAAUUUAAGAAAUAAUUAAACUAUUAAAAUUUAAAUGCAUUAGUGGCGUUUUUGUAAAAAACGCCGCAAAAAAAUUUCAAAUCAGGCAAAACGAAGUCGUUUUAUGAUUUGUGUGCAGAGGCAUUAGCGGCGUUUUUACAAAAACGCCACUAAAAAAUAUAGAAUUAGUGGCGCUUAUUGAAAAACGCCGCAAAAGAGCAUCAUCUUUUAAACAAAACGGCGCCGUUUUGUAGGAUUUAUUAGUGGCGUUUUUUGUGAAGCGCCGCAAUAGGUUUGGAUUUAGCGGCGCUAGUGUAUAAACGCCGCUAAUAUUAUUUUGUUCAGAUCAAAGUGUCGUCGUUUUGUUAGUUUAUUAGUGGCGUUUAUUUGAAACGCCGCAAUAGCUUACCCUUUUAGCGGCGCUAUUGCAAAAACGCCGCAAAUGUUAAAUUAAGUUUGUCAAAACAUCGUCGUUUUUGUUGUCUUCAUUUUUACAGACGAUAACACUUAGAAAUUUUGUCUAAGUCUCCCCAGUUUAUUUCCCCUCCCCUCUCUGCCUUACUCCCAAAUCCCUAAAGAAUCAUCACAUUUUUUCCCCAAUUCGACAUCCGAAAAUAGCCCAUUCUUCCCCAGUUUGAAAUCCCUAAAAUCCACCCUUCCCACUGGCCAUUGAUUUUCCAUCUAUAGAAAAUUGGAUUAAGAAAGGAAAUGUUUCAAAAGUUGGCUUCGGGGUUGAAGAAAACAGUUCAAGGUAAGAAAAUAGUUCAACGAUUAAUGAUUUUCAAAGUUUGUUUCUUCUAUAUUAAUGAUCGGUAUUCGAAGUGUCAGGUGUCCUGUAGGCGUUGGAUUUAGGUUUCUAACUAUCCCUUUUGCCAUUUUCGUUUACACCUAUAAGUUCUUCUCUGCUGAUCUCCUAGAUAAUUUUUGGGUUCAACGGAAAAGCAUAUUUCUUUUCUACUUCAGAUUUCAAUUUGACUGGUUAUUUUCGUUAUUUGCAAUGUUAUAUUCUAAGUUCAUUCAAGUUUAUUUUCUGGGUUUGUGUUGCUUGAUUUAGUUUUGUACUAAGUGGAGUUGUAUUUUCUUUUAAUAGCUCCUGCUGGAAAACUGGAAUUUGGAAAUUUGAAUCUUGUUCUUGGAAAGCUUAAUAGGAGUUAUAUAUAUAUUUAUCCGUGUGUGUGUUCUAUAACUUAGUCAGGUUUAGAUGUCAUCUUCGUGAUUGAACUUAUAUGAAUUGUUUGUGUGUUUAUAUAAAUACAUAAUUCUAAAUACAUAAAUGCUGAAGUUUGUGAAUUUUAUGAAUUAUUUGUUUGACCCAAAAAUUUUAUACUAAUAAACUAAUAUAGUAGGAACAUUAGUUUUACUGAAUUGAGUUGCUGUUUUUAUGAUGAUAGAAAAUAUAACUCAGGCCCAAAACAAAAAUAAUUACAAUUCAUCUUGCAGAAGAGGUCUAAUAUAUUCAGAUUCUCAAAUUGCAUCGCAUGCCUGGAAAGUCAACAUGUAAAACUAAGCUAGCCCUCUAAAAGCUGCCGAUAUUUCAAAAAUUUUGACAAAAUCGAUUUCACUUACCUUACAUUACAAAUGCCUCUAUUUGUAGCGAAAAUUACUAUUGGAGAUAGUGAGCUCUCUAAAGCACGAUUCAAGUAUGAAAAGCACUCCAUGUCCAGCAUAUGCACCUGCUAACCAUGAUUUAGAGAACAUAAACAUGCAUGAUGUGUAAAAUGCUUUGAGCAUGUGCACAGGUCAAGACCUAAGAAGUAUCUUAGAUAUACAUUUGUUUGCAUGCUUAUUUGCAUAGAAACAUACAUUGCAUCCAUGCAUCUAAAGGACAUAUAUCGUAUGCUAAAACAGCUCAACUAAAGAAAAGAACAAGGCCUCAUCAAUGAAUAGAACUCCUGGUACAAGCUAUGCAACACCUUCAUCAAUAUACCGGUUAACUAUCUGUUACAAACAACAUUAUUUCAAUUAAAAGGCAUGCCAUCUUUCUAAGAAACAAUUGAGCAUAACAGUUGAAGUCAAUCCCACAUCAUAAGCCUGUUUCCAAAUUGGACAGGAAGUCCAUCUGACUCUAAAAGUUUAACCGUGUACUAUAUUGGUAGCUUCUAGGGAGCUGAUCAUAACAGGAUUCAUAGUAAUAGUAGGAUUAAACCAGAGAUUAGCUGAUAAGACUUCGGCUCUUAAACUGAAGAUUCCAAGUAAUACUAUUAAUGUAUUGGUGAGAGAAAUCACAGCAAUGGUAAAAUAAUACUGCCUAUUGUCCAUAAAAAUCGUCAUAAAAUGGACCUCAAAUAAACUAAUAUAGUAUGCAUAUGAUAGUUACACUUGAGUCUAAAUAGCAUAGCUUCUUAAUUGUCCAUUCAGCAUUGCUGUGUGCUUUUCUACAUUUAUAUUACUAGAAAGUUUGAACCGUUUGUUAGCAUUUAUAUGCAGGUAUGUUGUUUCUGUUCUUGGUUAUUAUGCCAUCCUUACUAUUUAUGCUCUGGUUUCUAGCUGUCAGUUGCACUUUGUGGUUUUACUACUUCAAAACACAAGAUCUUCUAGAAAUCUUCUUAAAAAAAUCAAUAAGCUAAUGAUACUCCAAGUGGGCAUCAAUAAGUUUAGGAACUCAAUCAUAUGCUUCAUCUUUCAGUCUGUCAUUCAGUUGUCUGGUACAUGAUGUUUAGCUAUAUUAUUGUGAAUCUAUGGAUUCUUUUUGAGCCUUUAAUUCUUAGAACUUAUGAAAAUAUCCGAAUACAUAAAGUAAUUUUUUUUUCUUACAUCUGUUCUAGGUACUGUCCAGCACCUAAAUUAAUAGUUGUUGCAAAUAAAUACACCACAUCCAUUGACAUCUGUUCUAGGUACAUGUUUCGUUGCUUAAUUACUUAACUUAUUUUUAUGCAUUUUUCCUUUAAAUUACUUAACAAAUACUAUUUUUUCUGACUCCAGCCUCUGUUUCCUGGUCAGAGUGAAGUAGACCAGCUUGUUGAAAUUAUUAAGGUACGUUUUAGUUCAAAAUUCGCAUAAAGAAUAGUUUCAUCAUGAUGAUUUUGAAAAAAAUCAUUUUACUUAGAUAUAUGAUUUGGUAUGAAGUAAUGAUAAGUAUGGUUUAUAAUUAGCUCAUCUUGGUAAGAUUGUUAAUUGGUAUGAUAUGCAUUUGUGGUUGUUAUUUUUCUGACUCAAGUGAAUUAAGUAUGGUUGUUGGAUGUGUUUUGGGUAUGGUUUAUUAUUGAAUUACAUUUUGACUAUAAUUUGUUUAUUCAUUAGUUUCGGAAAUGGCAGUGAUGAGAUGUUAUAUUUGGUUGAUGAUAGAUAAAUAAAUACAUAAAGUUAAUGUUUAUGAGUUUUGUGGAGUAUGAUUCUGCACAUGCAAAGUUGGUUUGUUUAAAGCUGUGCAUUUUCAUGUUUACAUACUAAUGGUGAUUCCAUUUUUGUUUUUUAGAUGUUCUUUUGGUCUGUUUUCAUGUUUCUAUCCAACUUAUGUGUUUACUGUGCAGUUUUGCCAUAUUUUGCUAAGGUGUAUAGCUUCAUUGGCAGUGUCUUUGAUCCUGGUACAAGUGGGCACUUGCAAAACUGAUAUAGGUAAAGUUUCUAUAUUUGCUUAAACUGAAAUAUAUUUGGUGCUACUCUUAUAAUCUUACAUCUGUUCUAGGUACUAUCGAGCACCUGAAUUAAUAUUUGGUGCAACUAAAUACACCAUAGCCAUUGGCAUUUGUUCUAGGUACGUACAAGUUUCGUUGCUAAAAUUUUUCCUUAUUUCUAUGCAUUUUCACUUUAAAUUACUUAACAAAUAUUACUUUUUUGACUCCAGCCUCUGUUUGCUGGUGAGAGUGGAGUAGACCAGGUACGUUUUAUUAAGGUAGGCUUUAUUUCAAAAUUCUAAUCAAUAAUAGUUUUAUCAUGAUGAUUUUGGAAAAAUUAAUAUUUUGGGGUUGCGAUUUUGUAAAGAUUUAAUUGCUAGUUCUGUUUGGAGUAGAACUAUUUUGUUUCCAAAUUAAUUUUAAAUAUUUGGUUCAACUUAAUUAUUAUUUGAUUCAACUUAAGUAUGAAUAGGUAUGAAUUAAUUUUAUUACCAUGUAGCUUGCUUGUCCAUUAAAAUUACAACAAUAGCUGACUUUCUCUCCAACCUUAUUUUAAAUAUUUUAAAGAUUCAAAGUAUAUACUCUGGAAACCUGACGGGUUGCCUUAUAUCGAGCUGCAAGAUAUAAUGGAUCCUCCCUAGGUGUAACAACGCCACGUAUCAUGAAUCUUAAAAAAUUCAAAAAGACUUGAAAACAGUUCUAUCGAGCUCAUUUACUAUUGAAUAUUUAUAUAACCUUAAUUUAUUUCCAAUUUACUUAUAAAAAUUAAACUACGAUUCUUUUUUGAUAUUAUUAUAUUCAAAUUACUAUUUUUUAUAUUAAUAAUGUUUUAUUUUAAUAUUUAAUAUUUUUAAAUUUCUUUAAAAGUUAUAACUACUUUUUAUCAAAAUUACAACAAUAGCUGACCUUCUUCCAACCUUAUUUUAAAUAUUUUAAAGAUUCAAAGUAUAUAGGCUGGAAACCUGACGGGUUGCCUUAUAUCGAGCUGCAAGAUAUAAUGGAUCCUCCCUAGGUGUAACAACGCCACGUAUCAUGAAUCUUAAAAAAUUCAAAAAGACUUGAAAACAGUUCUAUCGAGCUCAUUUACUAUUGAAUAUUUAUAUAACCUUAAUUUAUUUCCAAUUUACUUAUAAAAAUUAAACUACGAUUCUUUUUUGAUAUUAUUAUAUUCAAAUUACUAUUUUUUUAUAUUAAUAAUGUUUUAUUUUAAUAUUUAAUAUUUUUAAAUUUCUUUAAAAGUUAUAACUACUUUUUAUCAAAAUUACAACAAUAGCUGACCUUCUCUCCAACCUUAUUUUAAAUAUUUUAAAGAUUCAAAGUAUAUAGGCUGGAAACCUGACGGGUUGCCUUAUAUCGAGCUGCAAGAUAUAAUGGAUCCUCCCUAGGUGUAACAACGCCACGUAUCAUGAAUCUUAAAAAAUUCAAAUGUUUCAAUUUAAUAUGUCCCAUCUAAUAUACAAAUAUUUAAUAAAAUAUUUUAUAUAGUUUUUAACUUAAAUUUAAAUUAUUAUUGAAAUAUUCUCGUCCGUUUUAUCACAAAUAUUAUUCUCCGUUUUAUUACAAAUAUUAUCGUCCGUUUUACCAUUUAAGUUGAACUUUUUAUUCAAACUAAAUCAUAGCUUUUAAGCUAAAUACGGAUGUCCACACAGUGCUUUAAUAUGUACUUAAGAAAAGAUGACUUGUAAAACAUAAAUUAAAUUAAGUGUGGACUAUUUUAACUGCACAUGUGAUUUGUCAAAUAAAAACGAAUGACAUGUAUAUUAUUUAAUUAAAAUAAUUUUUUAUAAAUAUUAUUUAAUUAAAUAUUAUUUAAUCCCGCUACUUACCUGUAGAUACUUGAUAUUUGAUAUGUAUUAUCCAUGUGAUUUUCCACAUCGUGAAAUAAAAAACUUACAUAAUACAUAAAUAUAUUUGAUAUCAUAAUUUACAUAACUUAUAUAACAUAUAUAACUUACAUAACUUAUAUAACAUACAUAACUUAUAUAACUUAUAUAACUUAGAUAAAUAUAUAACUUACAUAACUUAUAAAAUACUUAAAUAUAUUUUAUAUCAUAAUUUACAUAACUUACAUAACUUAUAUAACUUAGAUAAAUAUAUAAUUUACAUAAAUAUAUAUCAUAUCAUAAAUUACAUAACUUACAUAAUACUUAAAUAUAUAUCAUAUCAUACAUAACUAGUUUACGAAAUUUACUUAACUUACAUAAUACAUAAAUCUAUAGUUGAAAAUCCUGCAACUUGCCUAAAUUAGUUUAUACCCAUUAGAGACUUGAUAUUUAGUAUAAUGAUAUGAUUUAAAUCAAUUGAGAACAUUUAAGUAACUGUAAUAUGUUGUCAACUUUAGAUUUCAAGAACUACAAAAUGGAUAGGAGUUGGAUGAAAUUGUCAAGGGAAAGCAAUGCCUAUCAAAAUGGAGCACAAACUUUUCUAAAUUUUGCAUUUCAAAAUGCAAGCCAAGAGAAUAUGAUUCUUUGCCCGUGUAAGAAGUGUGGCAACAUCUACUGGCAUUUUCGUGAAGUUGUCUACGAACAUCUAAUUGUUGAUGGCUUUAUUCGGGGGUAUAAAAAAUGGAUUUUCCAUGGAGAGUGUACAUCUAGUGGAACUUCUUCAACGAUUAAUCCGACUUAUCCUGAUACUGAUUACCAUCAGUAUGUUAGACAAGAUGACAUGGAAGAUAUGUUGCGGGAUGCAUUUAAUAUGCGUAGUCAUGGUGAG
rnacentral:lncRNA from 1 species